rnacentral:lncRNA from 1 species
UUUUUUCCAACCUCUGAAUACGAGUUCACCCGUGGCUGUUAGAUGAGAUGUGAACCAUGACAUGUAGUUCAAUCUAUCUAAGAAACCACGAGUCUCUCUUUUAUGUUCUCGGUUCAGGCAUUUCUCUUUUUUUUUUUUUUUUUUUUUUUAAAACAGGACCAACCUCGAUUCCUCUCUUACAAUGAACCCCAACAUCUUACCGGACCGCACUCUGAUAGUGCACUUAUCUGAAUUCAACCUUAGUCUGAAUUAUCUCAACUUGUCAAAUAGCUUGGCCAGAUCUGCCAGAUGCCCCUCUUCUGUCUGGGACUUUGCU